CCUACGGGAGGCAGCAGUAGGGAAUAUUGCUCAAUGGGGGAAACCCUGAAGCAGCAACGCCGCGUGGAGGAUGAAGGUUUUCGGAUUGUAAACUCCUUUUGUGAGAGAAGAUAAUGACGGUAUCUCACGAAUAAGCACCGGCUAACUCCGUGCCAGCAGCCGCGGUAAUACGGAGGGUGCAAGCGUUACUCGGAAUCACUGGGCGUAAAGAGCGCGUAGGCGGGCUAGUAAGUCAGAUGUGAAAUCCUAUAGCUUAACCAGAGAACUGCAUUUGAAACUGUUAGUCUAGAGUGUGGGAGAGGUAGGUGGAAUUCUUGGUGUAGGGGUAAAAUCCGUAGAUAUCAAGAGGAAUACUCAUUGCGAAGGCGACCUGCUGGAACAUUACUGACGCUGAUGCGCGAAAGCGUGGGGAGCAAACAGGAUUAGAUACCCGUGUAGUC
rnacentral:rRNA from 1 species